rnacentral:rRNA from 1 species
GACGAACGCUGGCGGCGUGCCUAAUACAUGCAAGUUGAGCGCUGAAGGUUGGUACUUGUACCAACUGGAUGAGCAGCGAACGGGUGAGUAACGCGUGGGGAAUCUGCCUUUGAGCGGGGGACAACAUUUGGAAACGAAUGCUAAUACCGCAUAAAAACUUUAAACACAAGUUUUAAGUUUGAAAGAUGCAAUUGCAUCACUCAAAGAUGAUCCCGCGUUGUAUUAGCUAGUUGGUGAGGUAAAGGCUCACCAAGGCGAUGAUACAUAGCCGACCUGAGAGGGUGAUCGGCCACAUUGGGACUGAGACACGGCCUAAACUCCUACGGGAGGCAGCAGUAGGGAAUCUUCGGCAAUGGACGAAAGUCUGACCGAGCAACGCCGCGUGAGUGAAGAAGGGUUUCGGAUCGUAAAACUCUGUUGGUAGAGAAGAACGUUGGUGAGAGUGGAAAGCUCAUCAAGUGACGGUAACUACCCAGAAAGGGACGGCUAACUACGUG